rnacentral:rRNA from 1 species
CCUACGGGCGGCAGCAGUGGGGAAUAUUGGACAAUGGGCGAAAGCCUGAUCCAGCCAUGCCGCGUGUGUGAAGAAGGCCUUCGGGUUGUAAAGCACUUUCAAUGGGGAAGAAAGCCUUGGGGCUAAUACCCUCGAGGAAGGACAUCACCCACAGAAGAAGCACCGGCUAACUCCGUGCCAGCAGCCGCGGUAAUACGGAGGGUGCGAGCGUUAAUCGGAAUUACUGGGCGUAAAGCGCGCGUAGGCGGUCUGAUAAGCCGGUUGUGAAAGCCCCGGGCUCAACCUGGGAACGGCAUCCGGAACUGUCAGGCUAGAGUGCAGGAGAGGAAGGUAGAAUUCCCGGUGUAGCGGUGAAAUGCGUAGAGAUCGGGAGGAAUACCAGUGGCGAAGGCGGCCUUCUGGACUGACACUGACGCUGAGGUGCGAAAGCGUGGGUAGCAAACAGGAUUAGAUACCUAGUAGUC